rnacentral:rRNA from 1 species
GACAGAGGGUGCAAACGUUGUUCGGAAUUACUGGGCGUAAAGCGUGUGUAGGCGGUCCUCUAAGUCGGGUGUGAAAGCCCCGGGCUCAACCUGGGAAUUGCAUUCGAGACUGAAUAGCUAGGGUACGGUAGAGGGAAGUGGAAUUUCCGGUGUAGCGGUGAAAUGCGUAGAGAUCCGGAGGAACACCAGUGGCGAAGGCGACACGCUGGGCCGUACCUGACACUGAUGCGCGACAGCAUGGGGAGCAAACAGG